rnacentral:rRNA from 1 species
CUGGAGGUAUCAGAAGUGCGAAUGCUGACAUAAGUAACGAUAAAGCGGGUGAAAAGCCCGCUCGCCGGAAGACCAAGGGUUCCUGUCCAACGUUAAUCGGGGCAGGGUGAGUCGACCCCUAAGGCGAGGCCGAAAGGCGUAGUCGAUGGGAAACGGGUUAAUAUUCCCGUACUUGGUGUUACUGCGAAGGGGGGACGGAGAAGGCUAUGUUGGCCGGGCGACGGUUGUCCCGGUUUAAGCGUGUAGGUGUGUGUUCCAGGUAAAUCCGGUUCACUUUAACACUGAGGCGUGACGACGAGGCACUACGGUGCUGAAGCAACAAAUGCCCUGCUUCCAGGAAAAGCCUCUAAGCAUCAGGUAACAUCAAAUCGUACCCCAAACCGACACAGGUGGUCAGGUAGAGAAUACCAAGGCGCUUGAGAGAACUCGGGUGAAGGAACUAGGCAAAAUGGUGCCGUAACUUCGGGAGAAGGCACGCUGACACGUAGGUGAAGUGAUUUACUCAUGGAGCUGAAGUCAGUCGAAGAUACCAGCUGGCUGCAACUGUUUAUUAAAAACACAGCACUGUGCAAACACGAAAGUGGACGUAUACGGUGUGACGCCUGCCCGGUGCCGGAAGGUUAAUUGAUGGGGUCAGCGCAAGCGAAGCUCCUGAUCGAAGCCCCGGUAAACGGCGGCCGUAACUAUAACGGUCCUAAGGUAGCGAAAUUCCUUGUCGGGUAAGUUCCGACCUGCACGAAUGGCGUAAUGAUGGCCAGGCUGUCUCCACCCGAGACUCAGUGAAAUUGAACUCGCUGUGAAGAUGCAGUGUACCCGCGGCAAGACGGAAAGACCCCGUGAACCUUUACUAUAGCUUGACACUGAACAUUGAGCCUUGAUGUGUAGGAUAGGUGGGAGGCUUUGAAGUGUGGACGCCAGUCUGCAUGGAGCCGACCUUGAAAUACCACCCUUUAAUGUUUGAUGUUCUAACGUGGACCCGUGA